rnacentral:rRNA from 1 species
UACAGAGGGUGCAAGCGUUGUUCGGAAUUAUUGGGCGUAAAGGGCGCGUAGGCGGCCAGCACAAGUCAGUUGUGAAAUCUCCGAGCUUAACUCGGAAAGGUCAACUGAUACUGUGCGGCUAGAGUGCGGAAGGGGCAACUGGAAUUCUUGGUGUAGCGGUGAAAUGCGUAGAUAUCAAGAGGAACACCUGCGGCGAAGGCGGGUUGCUGGGCCGACACUGACGCUGAUGCGCGAAAGCCAGGGGAGCGAACGGG